rnacentral:rRNA from 1 species
UAGGGAAUCUUCGGCAAUGGGGGCAACCCUGACCGAGCAACGCCGCGUGAGUGAAGAAGGUUUUCGGAUCGUAAAGCUCUGUUGUAAGUCAAGAACGGGUGUGAGAGUGGAAAGUUCACACUGUGACGGUAGCUUACCAGAAAGGGACGGCUAACUACGUGCCAGCAGCCGCGGUAAUACGUAGGUCCCCGAGCGUUGUCCGGAUUUAUUGGGCGUAAAGCGAGCGCAGGCGGUUUGAUAAGUCUGAAGUUAAAGGCUGUGGCUCAACCAUAGUUCGCUUUGGAAACUGUCAAACUUGAGUGCAGAAGGGGAGAGUGGAAUUCCAUGUGUAGCGGUGAAAUGCGUAGAUAUAUGGAGGAACACCGGUGGCGAAAGCGGCUCUCUGGUCUGUAACUGACGCUGAGGCUCGAAAGCGUGGGGAGCGAACAGGAUUAGAUACCCUGGUAGUCCACGCCGUAAACGAUGAGUGCUAGGUGUUGGAUCCUUUCCGGGAUUCAGUGCCGCAGCUAACGCAUUAAGCACUCCGCCUGGGGAGUACGACCGCAAGGUUGAAAC